rnacentral:rRNA from 1 species
CCCUUAGAUGUUCUGGGCGGCCCGCGCACUACAAUGGCGUGUGCAGCGAGCGCCGAAGUAGAGUUUUCCGAGGUAUUCUUGCAAUGCUCGUUUUGAUGGGGAUAGACCCUUGCAACUGUUGGUUUUGAACGAGGAAUUCCUUGUAAGCAUGGUUUAUCAUCCGUCGCUGAAUGCGUCCCUGCCCUUUGUACACACCGCCCGUCGCUCCUACCGAUGAGUCGUCCGGUGAAGUUCGUAGACCUCGUGAUCGCGGAUCACUGGGGGAAGCAAAAUGAACCUCGCGGUUUAGAGGAAGGAGAAGUCGUAACA